GUUGCCUCCUGGGCGUCCCAGAUCGCAUGCCAUUCUCUGGAUGGAGAUUUAGGACAAACCACUCCAUUGGUCCUAAAAGUAUCAGUCACAAAACUAGAAAGUGGGGUGGAAUUCUGAGGGUUUUUUUAUUUUUAUUUUUUAUUAAAGUGGGCUGGGUAAGCAUAUUAAGUCUGUUGAGUCUUGAUUCUCAGUCUCUACCUCUGAAAUAAACCCUUUCUUCCUCCCA